rnacentral:snoRNA from 1 species
CAAAAAGCAGGGUUCUGUUGUGUAAUAACAGACCUCACGUAAAUGUCAGGAAAAUCGAAUUGGUCAUCGUGAAUGGGUGAGCCAAUGUUUUAUGCUAAUAGCAAUAUGGUUCAGUACAUGAUGGUACAUUA